rnacentral:tRNA from 1 species
GUCCAGUUGGGCGAGUUCGGCAUCUCGUUGCCGCUGAGGUCGGCGUCGAAACCGCGACCGAAGUUCGGAGCCUCGGUCAGGGCG